rnacentral:lncRNA from 1 species
GAUUAGAUCUCAAAGAUAAGAUCAAACUAGGAUCAAACUAAUCAUGGAAGAUGGACCUCGAGUUUUAUCGUUUCCACUUGUUUCCAAAGCAAGGAGGUUCUUCCCCUAGCUGGCAACACUUGUGGCCAAAAAGGCAAACCACGAUGGUGACAACUGGCCUUGGUCCAAUGACUGGCAGUGGCAAAUGGUGUCAGAAAUCAAGAACUAAACGUGAAAGAAAAUAGGAGAAAUUAAUAAUCAGAAUUUCAAGAAAUUUUUGACAGAAAAUUUAGCAAAAAUUCAAGCUUAGGAACUAUAG